rnacentral:lncRNA from 1 species
GCAGCUGUCAUAUUUUGGAUAUGUAAUGCAUGCAGAGCAUGGACUGGAAAAGACGAUUAUGCUUGGAAAGGUCGAGAGAGACAGGAGAAGAGGACGACAACAAACAAGAUGGAUAGAUAGGAUCAAGACAACUACUGGAAAGACUUUGAGAGAACUGUGCGAUUUGACCAAAAACAGGUCUGAAUGGCGAGCAUUUGUCCACACAGUCACCAGAAGUCAAACUCGACUUGAUGGCACCUAACAACAACAACAUAUACAGUAUUUAGUGCAUUGCUACUAUUGCUAAGCAAGUUAUAAUGCUAAUGAGGAGACAGUAAAAUUUGGUUGGGCCAAUUUUUGAUAAUUUCUGGUAAAUUCAAUUCAUUUUCCCCCUCUGUGUCAUUUCUCAAAGUGAGCUCCACUGUUUUUACUUCUUUUACAAGAAAACCUAGAUUUAAAUUUUGAUACAUGGAUGACACCUCUUUAGAAAAAUGCUAUUUUGUUGGGCUUCAGUGGCUCUGCCACUAGAAUGAGCACCUUCAAUGCUCGAGCU